AGCUUGCUUGUUGCUGGGGAAAAGACUUGCUGCUUUGUGUUUCAUUUGAUGAAGAGCUUCUUUUCAUUUAGUCAGUCACUUAUUUCCAGAGAUUUCCUGGUGAUGUUGCCUCAAAUUUAUCUGUGGAAAUGCCAGUAUGUUUUAAGGUUGCAGCUUCCAUAAGUCAGGAUUCUAGUCACAGCUUAGCUGGAUCCUCUCAGAAGGCUACGAUCAAGGUGUCAGCCAGACUGAGUUCUCAUCAGAGGCUCGACUAGGAGAGGAUCUGCUUCCAAGUUCCCUCAGGUUGUUGGAAGGAUUCAUUUUCUUGUGGCUAAGCUCACAGGAGCUUUCUUCUUCAAGGGCAUCAGGAGAGUGGAGAGCAAGUCUACUCAAAGACUUCUAUACAAAUCAUAAGACAUCAAGUACUCUUCAACUGCCUAUUGGGAGACAAUUUCCACAGCUCUCUCAUGUUUCUGCACAACUUGUAAGCAAGACAAGACUCUCUUAUCUUCUGGACUCUAUUUUCAAGAAUACUCAUAUAGUGAACAGUGUCUUCUUCCUGAGCGAAGGGCAUAAAUGCUACUUUCCAUUUUAAAAGAUUCAAGUUCCCUAAGCUCGGAAUUCUUCUGUAAUGCAACCCAUUGUGUGUGCAGGUAUCACCUGGCAUUCUUCCCAUUACCCUGUGGGAAUUGGAGCUCAGGGAACCUUCAUAGAAAUUCUGAUAGUCUAGCUACUGCUAUUUCUAUGAGUAAUAAAUUGUUUCUGACCCAGAAGUCUUGUGUCUUCUGCUGGCAUCCAUGAAAUUAUGAGGCUAAAUUGUUAGAUUACAAGUGAGGUAAAAUCUUGGACGCUUCCCAGUUCUUGACACUGACUAAAAUACAUGCAUAUUCGUUUUAUCAAGUCAGUUUGAAAAAAAAUCUAUGAAUUAAAAUAAUUACAAAAUUCUAAGGACUGAAUUUGUAAUAUAUUGGAUGAACAAAACCCUCUACCUUGGUUCUGAAAUUCUUGAUAGUUGAGAUAUGUGUAACAUUUGUAAUUUGAAAUACACAAGUAAUUCUCUAUUUAAAAGGUCAUAUAUCCAAAGUAUUGAAAAAUCUAGAAUACAUUAAACUUUAGCUAUCCAUGGUGAAAGGCAGUGGCAAAACAGCUGCAGAAAAGCUGAAACUAGAUUCAAUUAAAUCUUUGUGCCAAAACCAAGUGCACAAAAAUCUCCCAAAGCUGUUAAAACUAUACAGCUUAUUUGCUAUAAAUUUUAUAAAUGGUUAAAUAAAACAAGUUUUGAAGUAAUUUGGUAAAUUGACAAAUUUUUCACUCAUUGAUUUGUUGUAGCUAAUGAGGGAUGGUGGGGAGUGGAGAAGGGUUCAGAGAACUUGGGAAGGAUAUAAAAAUGGAGGUAUGUGGGGCAAAUGCCCCCAACUACAUGUCUUAAUCAAGAACACCAGCCUAUGGUCAAGGGAAUUUUCAUAUACAGAUGAGAGCUAGUCUCACUUGAUCUUUCUGCAUUAAAACUGUUACAAAGCAACUUCUUUAUCAAAUGAAUACAAUCACAUUUAGUAGAGGCUCUAGUUAAGACCUGAGGCUAUACUGACCUGGGUUAGAGACCUGGCUUUUACAUUUUUACCUACUCUCUCUAAGCCUUAAUUUCUCAGUUUUAAAAGUGCAGGUAAUCAUAGCAUGUGUUUCCCAAGGAUGUUGUAAAGAUUAGUGUCAGGAUGGCUGAGUGGUGUAAGGCACCAGACCCAAGGAUGUUGUAAGGAUUAAUUGAAAUAUCCACUUAAAUUGCUUAGCAUGAUACCUGCUAUGUAGAAAGUGCUUGAUAGCCUUAACAAUAUAUAUCAUUAAGAAAUUUCCUUGGAAUGGGAAUUUCAAACCACUUUAUCAAAUAUACUUACUUCCUCACUUACUUUUGUGGUUUGGUAGCUUUUUCUUUACACAUUUAGGAGGUGGGGAAGCACAGAGAUAUAGCACUUUCUCUUUUUUUUCUUUGAGACAGAGUCUCGCGCUGUCACCCAGGCUGGAGUGCAGUGGCGCCAUCUUGGCUCACUGCAACCUCCGCCUCCCAGGUUCAAGCUAUUCUCCUGCUUCAGCUUCCUGAGUAGCUGGGACUACAGGUGCACACCACCAAGCCUGGCUAAUUUUUGUAUUUUUAGUAGAGACGGGGUUUCACCAUGUUGGCCAGGAUGGUCUCGAUCUCCUGACCUCGUGAUCCACCCGCCUUGGCCUCCCAAAGUGCUAGGAUAACCGGUGUAAGCCACCGCACCUGGCCAGAUAUAGCACUUUCUAAAAGGUCUAUAAAUCUUUCUAAAGAUUAAUAUUGAGUGGGAUCAAUGUGUUUUAGGGAAUCCAGAUACUGCACACCACUUUGCAAAUGUUUAGAUUUUAGCAGAACAACAAAUGGACUUUGCAAAGACUGUCUUUUAAUUAUUAAACCUCUAUUUAUUAAAAUUAGGCCAGGCACAGUGGCUCACGCCUGUAAUCCCAGAACUUUGGGAGGCCGAGGUGGGUGGAUCACCUGAGGUCAGGAGUUCAAGACCAGCCUGGCCAACAUGGUGAGACCACAUCUCUACUACAAAUACAAAAAUUAGUCGGGCAUGGUGGCAGGCACCUGCAAUCUCAGCUACUUGGGAGGCUGAAUGAAUUUACAGAUAGGAAGGCACACAUUAUAUAAGUUAAAAUUCAGUUCAACUAUGAGUGACAGAAAACCCUAAUGAGUGGUAGCUUAAACAUACAAUGUUUACUCCCUCAAACAAAAUGUCUGCCUGAUAUGUAGCUGAUGUGAGGCUCCAUGGUGUCAGGGUCCCAGGUUUCUUUUAUCUAUGGCUUUGCCAUCUUUAUCACAUGAACUAUAAUGACUGCUUGAGCUUCUUAUGGUCUAAAAUGGUUUCUUGAGUUUCCUAUCCCCAUCCAGUCAGGA
rnacentral:lncRNA from 1 species